GCGGGAACUUUGUUUAUUUACAUCUCCCUUUUUCAGUAUCAAUAAGAUACAGAAAAGAAAGAGGCAGGAGAAGAUUGACACCUUUUUCAAGAGAAAUCCUGAGAUGAGGUUGCUGGAGGCAUCAGUUUAAAGAGAGAGAGAGACACAGAAAGUUUCACAGGUG